AUUGAACGCUGGCGGCAUGCUUUACACAUGCAAGUCGAACGGCAGCGCGGGCUUCGGCCUGGCGGCGAGUGGCGAACGGGUGAGUAAUGCAUCGGAACGUGCCCAGUAGUGGGGGAUAGCCCGGCGAAAGCCGGAUUAAUACCGCAUACGACCUGAGGGUGAAAGCGGGGGACCGAAAGGCCUCGCGCUAUUGGAGCGGCCGAUGUCGGAUUAGCUAGUUGGUGGGGUAAAGGCUUACCAAGGCGACGAUCCGUAGCUGGUCUGAGAGGACGACCAGCCACACUGGGACUGAGACGCGGCCCAGACUCCUACGGGAGGCAGCAGUGGGGAAUGUUGGACAAUGGGGGCGACCCUGAUCCAGCCAUGCCGCGUGCGGGAAGAAGGCCUUCGGGUUGUAAACCGCUUUUGUUCGGGAAGAAAUCCUCUGGGCUAAUACCCCGGGGGGAUGACGGUACCGGAAGAAUAAGCACCGGCUAACUACGUG
rnacentral:rRNA from 1 species